rnacentral:rRNA from 1 species
UAGUCCACGCCGUAAACGUUGUGCACUAGACUGUUGCGGUUUUGACGCCGUGACGGUCGGAGAGAAAUUGUUAAGUGCACCGCCUGGGGAGUACGGUCGCAAGGCUAAAACUCAAAGGAAUUGACGGGGGCUCACACAAGCGGUGGAGCAUGUUGCUUAAUUCGAAGCAACGCGAAGAACCUUACCUGGGUUUGACAUGCACGGAUUAGUUCUGGGAAACUAGGAUAACGCCCUUUGGGUGGAACGUGCACAGGUGCUGCAUGGCUGUCGUCAGCUCGUGCUGUGAAGUGUCGGGUUAAGUCCCUUAACGAGCGCAACCCUUAUCGCUAGUUGCCAGCGCGUAAUGGCGGGGACUCUAGCGAGACUGCCGGUGUCAAACCGGAGGAAGGUGGGGAUGACGUCAAGUCCUCAUGGCCCUUACGUCCAGGGUGGCAAACGUGCUACAAUGGCGCGUACAAAGCGAGGCGAGGUCGCGAGACGGAGCAAAUCGCAAAAAGCGCGCCCCAGUUCGGAUUGC